CGAUUUAUUACAUGGACUGAUAUUUGUUGAACACCUACUCUGUGUCUGGUAUUGUUCUGAGUACUGGGGACAAAUGGGUACCUACUCCAAUGGAGCUUAUAGUCUAAAGGUUUAAGCAAUUUAUGAUAGAAAAAAUAAGAUUGGUAUUGAAGAAAGCAGUUCACAAUGCCAGAGAAAUGAAUUCCCUAAAGAACUAUAUGAAGGGCCAGCAAAAGAAGACCACCCAACUCUGAUGAGGCUGGGGUCUCUGAUGAGAUCAAUGCAGGGCAGCUGCUGAAGAUAAGGAAAUGGAAGACCCCAAUGGAAAUGAGGUUUCCUUUACUCACUCCUACACCUCAAACUUCCUAAAAGAAUUUAGCUAGAGGACCUGCUCCAGGAAGGGAGCUAUCACCACAGACGACUCCGUUAUAAUACGAACUCGGUGUGGUAGACAGCAAGGAAGCUAGUGAAGUCUAUUAGCUAACAUGCCUCUUUGUGUCUCAUUGCCUCUGUAAGAAGCAGAAAACAUCUGUUCACCAGACAUUCACCCUGUUUCACCUCCCUGUCAAUUGCUUCCUUUCUUCUGAAGGGCCAGACCCUUCUCCUUAGUUCAGGAUGAACAUAUAUACCUCAUUUUGCCUGACUGUCUUUGGGAGCUCUUAAGUUUAUGUGGAUUCCCUGUG